ACUGCACCCGGAGAAGACCUGGCACGGCGCUCGAGGACGCGGGUUCGAUUCCCGCCAGCUCCACCA
rnacentral:tRNA from 1 species